CCCGCGAGAGAGCUGCACCAGCGCCGCCAGCACGACGAACACGAGACAAAGGCGAGAGAAUGGAGACAUCUUUCUCGUCUUCCUGAAAUUUGAGGCGGAAUUAAUACGAAAGAGAAAUACAGCAUUGUUCUCGCGGUGCUUUUGUUUGCAACGCAGCUGGAAGCGUUCAGCUCGGUCGGAUCGUUAUUACGUUUAAUUGGACGUGAAUUGGCAUGACCGUGGAAAGAGCACGAGAGGGAGGGAGAGAGAGAGAGAGAAAGAGAAAGAGAGGAGGGAAGAAAAAAAGAAAAGAGAAGGCUCGGCGUGCUUUCACACGGUUCUCCUUUUCGCCAAGUUUACCGGGGCCGCUCUUUAAAUAUGUGCGGCCGACUUAAACACGCCACCCGUAAAGGCCUGGCACGCCUCGAGAGUUCGCUCAAGUACUACUUUUCUUCUUCUAAUCUGCAGGUAAGAUACUGUUAAACGAACUCCAUACAAAAUGGCUACAACUCAAGAGAAGGCACAGCGUGUAUCAUGGUUUGUUGAAACCAAAUCGGAUCUCUGCAGACUCGGCGAAACUUGAGAACUAGGUAUGGAAGAGAUCCACCGUCACGUCCAUCAAUUCUCGUGCAUGGCGCAAGAAAUUUAUGGAGACAUGGAUAGUGUUUCGACAAAGGGAGAAUUGGACGACCAAGAACAUUCGAGGAAAACAUUGAUCGUGUAGAAAUCGAGCACCGUCUUGAUGUGCUUCGUGCAACCAAUGGUGCUCAUAUCAGAGGUAGUAUUA